UACCUGCUACGGAGGGGCACUCUAAGGAGACUGCCGGUGACAAACCGGAGGAAGGUGGGGAUGACGUCAAGUCAUCAUGGCCCUUAUGGCUAGGGCUACACACGUGUUACAAUGGCCGGUACAAAGGGUUGCCAACCCGCGAGGGGGAGCCAAUCCCAUAAACCCGGUCUCAGUCCGGAUUGCAGUCUGCAACUCGCCUGCAUGAAGUCGGAAUCGCUAGUAAUCGCGGU
rnacentral:rRNA from 1 species